UGGGGAAUAUUGCACAAUGGGCGCAAGCCUGAUGCAGCCAUGCCGCGUGUAUGAAGAAGGCCUUCGGGUUGUAAAGUACUAUCAGCGGGGAGGAAGGGAGUAAAGUUAAUACCUUUGCUCAUUGACGUUACCCGCAGAAGAAGCACCGGCUAACUCCGUGCCAGCAGCCGCGGUAAUACGGAGGGUGCAAGCGUUAAUCGGAAUUACUGGGCGUAAAGCGCACGCAGGCGGUUUGUUAAGUCAGAUGUGAAAUCCCCGGGCUCAACCUGGGAACUGCAUCUGAUACUGGCAAGCUUGAGUCUCGUAGAGGGGGGUAGAAUUCCAGGUGUAGCGGUGAAAUGCGUAGAGAUCUGGAGGAAUACCGGUGGCGAAGGCGGCCCCCUGGACGAAGACUGACGCUCAGGUGCGAAAGCGUGGGGAGCAAACA
rnacentral:rRNA from 1 species